UGGUGGGAUCAGAGCUGGCCAUGAUAUCCCAGCUGUCAUCACCCUCCAGUGAGGAGGGAAACGAGGGAGAAGCAGCCGCCCGUGGCACAAGUGCAGGAGAGACUUGAUGGUCCAUUUGUCUCCACGGACUCCAGCUGAGCAAAAGCCUGGAGGUCCUUGGCAGCUGAGCUAGGGGCUGUACGCACGUAAUAAGACAAGUGGUCUUCUCUGCAGUUCAAGAAGAGAGAAACAAGAGCUGGAAACCAAGAAGCAUUGUAUAAAGCACAGUAUGUGCUUGAUGAAGAGCAAUGGCCUGGAAUAAAAAGUUGUUUGCAGAUUGGGAUGUGCCACUCUGAAGAGAAAGGGAGGCAGGAGGAUGUACUUCUGUUCAACAGCCCAUCCUUUAGUCGAAUGCAGGAAGAGCACAGCGCCUCCAAAACGGCUGAGCGUUGCUGUACACAGAGCAUGUGUUGGGAGAGCAGAGCAUCAGCUGGCCCUAAGUACAUCAGCUGGAAUUAGGUGGCUGUGGAGUGAGUAAGAUUGAAAUUCAGAGGCA
rnacentral:lncRNA from 1 species